UACGGAGGUGGCAAGCGUUGUUCGGAAUUACUGGGCGUAAAGGGCGCGUAGGCGGCAUGGCAAGUCAGAUGUGAAAGCCCCGGGCUUAACCCGGGAAUUGCAUCUGAAACUGCUUUGCUUGAGUCCUGGAGGGGAUAGUGGAAUUCCCAGUGUAGCGGUGAAAUGCGUAGAUAUUGGGAGGAACACCUGCGGCGAAGGCGGCUAUCUGGACAGUGACUGACGCUGAGGCGCGAAAGCUAGGGGAGCGAACGGG
rnacentral:rRNA from 1 species